AGUGAACGCUGGCGGUAGGCCUAACACAUGCAAGUCGAACGGCAGCACAGUAAGAGCUUGCUCUUACGGGUGGCGAGUGGCGGACGGGUGAGGAAUACAUCGGAAUCUACUUUUUCGUGGGGGAUAACGUAGGGAAGCUUACGCUAAUACCGCAUACGACCUACGGGUGAAAGCAGUGGAUCUUCGGACCUUGCGCGAUUGAAUGAGCCGAUGUCGGAUUAGCUAGUUGGCGGGGUAAAGGCCCACCAAGGCGACGAUCCGUAGCUGGUCUGAGAGGAUGAUCAGCCACACUGGAACUGAGACACGGUCCAGACUCCUACGGGAGGCAGCAGUGGGGAAUAUUGGACAAUGGGCGCAAGCCUGAUCCAGCCAUACCGCGUGGGUGAAGAAGGCCUUCGGGUUGUAAAGCCCUUUUGUUGGGAAAGAAAAGCAGCAGGUUAAUACCCAGCUGUUCUGACGGUACCCAAAGAAUAAGCACCGGCUAACUUCGUG
rnacentral:rRNA from 1 species